rnacentral:rRNA from 1 species
UUUUUAAUGAAUUUAUAUUAAAUACAGCCUGCUCAAUGAAAUUAAUAGCCGCAGAAAAUUUACUGUGCUAAGGUAGCAUAAUCACUUGCCUCUUAAUUAGAGGCUAGAAUGAAUGGCUCAACAAUUAAUCAAUUUUUUAUAGAAGAAAUCCUAAAAUUAUAUUAAGCAUAAAAAUUUGCUUAUCCUCUUAAAAGACGACAAGACCCCGUCGAACUUAACUGUAGUUAAGCUGGGGAAGCUAAUUAAUAAUAACUGUAACAUCUCUAUUUUAAUAAAUACCCAGUACCAAUGAAUAAUAAUCAAGUUACCGCGGGGAUAACAGCGUAAUAAUUUUCUAAAGUUCCCAUUUAAAAAAAAGAUUACGACCUCGAUGUUGAAUUAGUUUAACUUAUUAGCGCAAGCGCUAAAAUAAGUAAGUCUGUUCGACUUUUCAAAAACUACA